AUUAUAGUCUAUGGACAGUAUAAAAUAUAGGUCACAUGACCAGGGUACACAAGGCGGUGAUGUCACAGAUGGCGGCGGUUGCACUAAGGUUCCAUCCGCUGUCUGAGUCUUUGAGGGUUUGUGAAGGAGCGAGACAAGAUGUCUGAUUUCUAUUUUGCGUGUGUGGGAGCGUUCAGCGCUAUAUUGUGGGUGGGCUUUGCCCUGUAUAAAAUUUUCGGAAGGAAGAGCGGCCAUGCUUGGCUUGGGGACCUGGAGGCUGCCUCCGGCGAUGAGCCAUUGGCCUAUUACGAGGAGUACGACUUCUCAUCUACUGUCCUGGUCAUGGAGGAAGAGUGAGAGGAGGACACCAUAAAAAGGAGUAAUCCAGGAGAGCCUAGAAAGACCAUAGGCCUAUAUGAUAUAAUGGAAAUAUAUCUAUAUCUAUACAUCUAUAUA